UCUUCUCAACAGCUUUACUGGGGUGUAACAAACACACGAUAAACUGCGCAUAUUCCAGUGUUCAUGUGGAUGAGUUUGGACAUAUGCACACACUUCCGAAACCACCAGCACAAUCAAGACAGCAGACAUAUCCAUCGCCCCCAAGGGUGUCCUUGUGUCUUUUUGUCAUUCAUCCCUCCCGGCCGCCCCAUCCACACUCCCAUCGCCUGCCGACUGUGGCUGAUCUGCUUUCUGCGGCUGUGGAUUAGUUUGCGUUCUCUACAAUUUUCUGAAGCACCAGUUAGCCCAGAUGCUUCUCAUCUUUGGAGUUGAGCUGCAGGCUGGAGACCUGGAAGGCCCUCGCAGCGCCUGCUCCCAUCCUCUCACCUCACGAAAGCGCAGGAAUCUCCAUGAGGGCAGGGGAUUUUGUCUGUUUCAUUCACAAUGUGUUCCCAGAGCUCAGCACAGUGUCAGGCACACACUAGGUAACAGCACCUCGACUUCCUACUGAAGAACCCCCUCUUCCCUUUUCUCAGUCCAUGAGGCUGGGGGUGCCCAGAGGCCUCUGUCUCCAGGGGUGGACAUGUGACCGGGUCUUGCUCUAGUGAUUGGUCCAGGGAUGGGCACAUGACUGAGCCUGCCCAAUGAAACUUGAUCUUGGGACUUCAGGGUUGGCCAUGAUUUGUGAAGGAGAUGCCAUUUUCCAUUGGAUGGACAGUGAGCAAGUGAACGCUUAGAGAAGAAGAGGACAAAACAAGGGAAAAGCCUGCCUGACAGGAAGCAGCACAGAGCUGGACAGGCUUUGAACUCCUGGAUCCCACUGUACCUGAAAUUAGGCACCUUCAACUUUCUAGUUAUGUGAGCCACUGUCUUUCCCAUUUUUGGCUGAAAACAGUUGGGACUGGCUUUCUGUCCCUUGCAUACAGAAGGUGCUGACUGACCCCUGCCCCAUGGAAGAAGAUACUCCAGGCAGAGGAAAUAGUGUGUAUAGACACCCCUAAGCGAAUGCCAAGCGGGGCACUCAUGUACCAAGAAGAAGGAGGAGGAGGCACCUGGGAGCUGAGCUUAAGAGUUAGUCGGGUGGUCAAGGUGGGAGAAGGGGGUAUCUUUAGCAGAGGGAACAACCAUUGCAAAAGCUUGGAGGGGUGACUAGUUAGUGAAGAUCAACUGUGUGCUGAGCUCGUGUUGGGUGGCAAGGGACACAGACGAAAAGGGCACGGUGGAACCCAGCUACUUCUCACCUGCUCCAGCGCAGUGCAGGCUUGUCUGCUUUUGGAGCCGAGCCUGGACACCUCCGUGUCCUUCCCCCGGCAGAGUGCUGCCAGCACGCUGUCUCAGACUCUCCAGCAUCUCCUGGUUGAUGUGCAUCAUGGGGACCACACAAGAUUAUUUUAUAGGCUGCACAGGCAAAGCAUAAAAUCACCUCGGGUCACAUAGCGAGAGUUAUUCUCUCUGCAAAUUCUUUACAGUCUUUCCUUUAUAUCCAGAAGAGUCUCUGUGUGGUGCUAACUUGCCUCGAAGACCAAAUAAUUGCUAGUCUCCCUUUGUGAAAAGGAGAGCAGGUGUCAGGCUCAUUCAUGUCUCAGGCACACAAUUGUAUCUAGCUAGACUUUUCAAAAUGUCCUAUAGAGCUGCAGCACAUAUGAAUGAGGUGUCCAGCUGGUCCCAAACCUGUAAUCGGCACCCCAGUGAGCAGACUGGACAUCCCCACCCCCACAGCUGCCCUUUCUCCCCUCCACUCAUGUUCCCUCUAGGGCCACCACGAUCCCGACUUGUAUCACCACAGAUGAGUUUCACAUGUUUUUGAAUUUUACAUCUUAUCUGUUUUCUGUUCCUAUACAAGUUUGCCUUUUUUGAAUUCCAUAUAAGUGGGAUUCUACAAUGUGUUAUCUCAAUUUGAGUCUGUUUUUUUUUUCCUGCUCAGCAUGAUGUUUUUGAGAUGCA
ensembl:lncRNA LINC01270 long intergenic non-protein coding RNA 1270